rnacentral:rRNA from 1 species
GAGUUUGAUUAUGGCUCAGGAGGAACGCUGGCGGCGUGCUUAACACAUGCAAGUCGAACGUGAUUUUAGUGGAAAUUCUUUCGGGGAUGGAAAUUAAAUGAAAGUGGCGAACGGGUGAGUAACACGUGAGCAACCUACCUUACACAGAGGGAUAGCCAUUGGAAACGGUGAUUAAUACCUCAUGAGACCACGAUACCGCAUGGUGACGGGGUUAAAGAUUUAUCGGUGUAAGAUGGGCUCGCGUCUGAUUAGCUAGUUGGAAGGGUAGCGGCCUACCAAGGCGACGAUCAGUAGCCGGUCUGAGAGGAUGAACGGCCACACUGGAACUGAGACACGGUCCAGACUCCUACGGGAGGCAGCAGUGGGGAAUAUUGCACAAUGGGGGGAACCCUGAUGCAGCGACGCGCGUGAGCGAAGAAGGCUUUCGAGUCGUAAAGCUCUGUCCUAUGAGAAGAUAAUGACG